rfam:Triticum aestivum genome assembly, contig: Triticum_aestivum_CS42_TGACv1_scaffold_406189_5BL
AUUAUACUCCCUCCGUCUCAAAAUUCUUGUCUUAGAUUUGUCAAAAUACGGAUGUAUCAAGUCAUGUUUUAGUAUUAGAUAAGAGUACAUCCGUACCUAGACAAAUCUAAGACAAGUCAUGUUUUAGUAUUAGAUACAUCCGUAUCUAGACAAAUUUAAGACAAAAAUUUUAAGACGGAGGGAGUAUAUG